AACGAACGCUGGCGGCAGGCUUAACACAUGCAAGUCGAACGCAUCGCAAGAUGAGUGGCAGACGGGUGAGUAACGCGUGGGAACAUACCCUUUUCUACGGAAUAGCUCUGGGAAACUGGAAUUAAUACCGUAUACGCCCUACGGGGGAAAGAUUUAUCGGGGAAGGAUUGGCCCGCGUUGGAUUAGGUAGUUGGUGGGGUAAAGGCCUACCAAGGCGACGAUCCAUAGCUGGUAUGAGAGGAUGAUCAUCCACAUUGGGACUGAGACACGGCCCAAACUCCUACGGGAGGCAGCAGUGGGGAAUAUUGGACAAUGGGCGAAAGCCUGAUCCAGCCUUGCCGCGUGAGUGAUGAAGGCCUUAGGGUUGUAAAGCUCUUUCACCGAUGAAGAUAAUGACGGUAGUCGGAGAAGAAGCCCCGGCUAACUUCGUGCCAGCCGCCGCCGUAAUAC
rnacentral:rRNA from 1 species